GAAAAAAUACGGAAGUAUGAAAUCAACUAAAUACCAAGCGAUAAAUACAUCUUUCUGUAAAUAACAUUGCUGCUUGAAAAAUCUAGCUAUAAAGCAAAACUAGCAAUACAGCUACCGACAGUCCUGGCAGACUCUCUGUGCCAGACCUAGAAAACCAAGCAAGAAAACCACUCCACUAUGGACCAACAUGGCUUUCCAAUGCCCGAGUACAGUGAUGGGGACACAGUACUGUGUGGAUAUGAUGAUCCUGGACUCAUUGUGUUCAUUAAAGGUCCCAAUAACCUU